CGCCUCCCGCAGGGGGCGCCCGAGUCCCGCUCCGAGACCCUGCGGGGCAUGCGCGCUCAGCCCUUCUCCUCGGGCGCUGACGGGCGUUCCAAAGCCUCAGAACCCACUGUGCUGACGCCCAGGCUUCGGGAGGACGUGGGUCCGCGUCCACGCUGACGGCAGCCGGGCCUCCUCAGGACCCGCUGUGGAGACUCCGGGAGGACGUGGGGCCGCGUCCACGCUGACAGGAGUCUGGCCGCAUCAGGACCCGCUGUGGAGACUCCGGGAGGACGUGGGGCCGCGUCCACGCUGAUAGGAGCCGGGUCUCCUCCGGACCCGCUGUGGGGACUUCGGGAGGACGUGGGGCCGCGUCCACGCUGAUGGCAGCCGGGUCUCCUCCGGACGUGGUGUGGAGACUCCGGGAGGACGUUGGUCCGCGUCCACGCUGACAGGAGUCCGGCCGCGUCAGGACCCCCCGGGAGUAGAAGGCCCCCAGCUGUCGUUGGCUCAGCAUAUUGACCACCUCACACGGGGCGCUUGGGUGCCUUGGACCCCGAACAGGGACGCCGGCCCGCGGAACCGGCACAGGACCCUAAGUGCGGAGAUCAUCCGGUGUCCACACUGCAACCCAGCCCGUAGGCCCGCUUCCACUGUCACCACCUGCCCCACUGUCUGAAGCGUCCUUUUCCACUCGCGUCCGGUUUUCUUCUUCUGGAACUGCUCCCGACACGUUGCCUUAUGCGGGUAACCUUGGCGGAUGUAAAGAGCAAGCUGGUUGCAAUCUGGCCUUUCCUGUCUGGCUUCUGUCACUGCGGCUGUUUUCAGUGUCCACCCACGCUGUGACCUGCCUCAGUCCCUCAUUCAUCUUUUCACUGCGACUAAACAUAAUAGUAUCGACCACUUACAACAUUGCAGGUGCACAGUUCUCUGGCCUCAGCCGAGUUGCGCGGUUGUCCCUCAUUCUCCAGCACUCUUUCCUUCUCGGCGAGGGGGACUCUGUGCAUGAGACGCCAGCUCCCCAUUGCCCUUCCCCCUCGGCCCCUGCAGCCACAUUCCACUCUGUGUCUCAGGAUACUUCCUGUAAGUGGGAUCACACAGUGUCUGUCCUCCUGUGACUGGUGAUUUCACUCAGCGAAACGACUUCCAGGGUCAAUCCGUGUCGUAGCCUGUGUCAGAACUCCCUUCGUUUUUGAGGCUGAAUCGAGUUCCACACUGUAUAUGCCACAUUUUGUUUAUCCAUUCAUCCGUCAGUGGGCACUUGGGUUGCUUCCACCUUUUGGCUGUUGUGAAAAUUGCUGCUCUGAAUAAGGGUACUUGUACUUUCAGUUUUGGGGGGCAUAUAUGCUGCAGUGGAAUUCUGCGUUCAAUAUUUUGAGGAGCCACCCUAUUUUUUUCUACAAAUGAACCAUUUUACUUCAUUCCUUCAUAGGGCAGAACAAGAUUGCCAUUUAUGGAUCUACCUCAUUUUGUUUAUCCUUUCCCCAUUGAUGGACAUUUGCAUAGUUUCUGGGUUUUGCCUAUUGUGAACACUGCUGCUACGAAUAUUUCUGUACAUUUUUGUUUGUAUCAGUGUUUUCAAUUUUGGGGGUAUACAUCUAGGAGUGUAAUUGUUGAACCAUAUGGUAAUUCUACUUUGAUCUAUUUGAGUAAAUGCCAAAAUAUUUUAUACGUAGACUCACCAUUUUUCACAAGCAAGGUGUAAGGGUUUCAGUUUCUCAACAUCCUUUCUAAAAUCUGUUAUUUUAGUUUUCUUGAUUACAGCGAUUCUAUCGUGUGUAAAAGGACAUCUAACUGGUUUAAAUCUUCAUUUCCAUAAAGACUAAGGAUGCUUAACAUCUAUUCAUGUGCUAUUCACCAUUUGUAUGAUUUCUUUGGAGGAAGGUCUACCCAAGUCCUUUGUCUAUUUUAAAAAAUGGGUUGUCUUUUUGCUGAGGAGUUGUAAAAGCUCUUUACAUAUUCUGGGCAACAGACUCUUACUAGAUAAAUAAUGUACAAACAUUUUCUUCCAUUCUGGGGGCUUUCUUUUCACUUUCCAGAUAGUAUCUUAUGAUGUACAGAUUUUUAUUUUUUUUACAUUUCUUUUUUAAGAGUGAGUGAGAGAGAGUGUGCAAGUGGUCAGGGGCAGAGGGAGAAGGAGAGAGAAUCUUAAGCAGGCCCCAUACUCAGUGUGGAGCCUGACGUGGUCUUGAUCUCAUAACCCUGAGAUCAUGAUCUGAGCCAAAAUUAAGAGUCGGACGCUUAACCAACUGAGCCACCCAGGCACCCAGAACAGAUUUUUAAUUUUGAGGACAUUAUUUUAUCUAUUUUUUCCUUUCCUUUCUUAUGCUUUGGUAUCAGAUCUAAAAGCAUUGCUAAAUCCAAGCUUAUGAAGAUUUAUCCCCAUUUAUUUCUUCUAGAGUUUAUAGUUUUACCUCUUACAUUUAAGCCUUUAAUUUAUUUUGAGUUAAUGUUUAUAUGUGGUGUGAGGUAAGGGUCCAGUUUCAUCUCUCUGUACAUGGAUAGUCAGUCAAUUGUCUAGCACCCUUUGUUGAAAAGACCAUUCUCUCCCCCAGUGUAAUGUUGCCACCCUUGUCAAAAUUCAGUGGACCACAGAUGAAGGGGUUUAUUUCUGGGCUGUCAGUUAAAUCCCACUGAUCUGUAUACAUAUCUUUUUUAAAAAAACUAUUUUAUUUAUUUAUUUAAAAAAUGUUUUAAAUUUAAAAUCAACUAAUUAACGUAUAAUGUAUUAUUUGUUUCAGGGUGAAUGCUACCUUUAUGACAGUAUCACAAUGUUUUAUUUACUGUUGCUUUGUAUUAAUAUUUGAACUUUGGAAGUAUGACCUUUCACCUUUGAUUUUCUUUUUCAAGAUUGUUUUGGCUAUUUUGUGGUCCCUUGAAAUUCCAUAUGACUGUUAGGAUUAGCUUGUGCAUUUCUUUCCAAAGGCCUUUGUGAAUUUCCUCGGGAACACAUUGAAUUUCCACAUUGCAUUGUGUACUAUUGCCAUCUUAUCAAUAGUAUGUCUUUUCAUCACCAUGGGGUCCUCAGAUUUAUUUAGGUUUCCCUUUCUUUCAGCAAUGUUUUGUAAUUUUCAGUGUACAAGCCUUGCACCUUGAUUACAUCUAUUCCUGAGUAUUUUGUCAAUGUUAAUGUUCCCUAAAAUGGAAUUGUUUUCUUAAAUUAUUUUUUGGAUGAUUCAUGGCUAAUGUAUACAAAUAAGAGAGAUUUUUGUGUGUUGAUAUUAACUGGCUGUAAUCAUUUUUUGUUGAUUGUUUAGGAAGCUCUCUAUAUAAGAUGAUGUCAUCUCUGGUCUCUGAAUAGACGUAGUUCUACUGUUUUCUU